rnacentral:rRNA from 1 species
ACUCCUACGGGAGGCAGCAGUGGGGAAUUUUGGACAAUGGGCGAAAGCCUAUCCAGCAAUGCCGCGUGUGUGAAGAAGGCCUUCGGGUUGUAAAGCACUUUUGUCCGGAAAGAAAUCCUUGGCUCUAAUACAGUCGGGGGAUGACGGUACCGGAAGAAUAAGCACCGGCUAACUACGUGCCAGCAGCCGCGGUAAUACGUAGGGUGCGAGCGUUAAUCGGAAUUACUGGGCGUAAAGCGUGCGCAGGCGGUUUGCUAAGACCGAUGUGAAAUCCCCGGGCUCAACCUGGGAACUGCAUUGGUGACUGGCAGGCUAGAGUAUGGCAGAGGGGGGUAGAAUUCCACGUGUAGCAGUGAAAUGCGUAGAGAUGUGGAGGAAUACCGAUGGCGAAGGCAGCCCCCUGGGCCAAUACUGACGCUCAUGCACGAAAGCGUGGGGAGCAAACAGGAUUAGAUACCCGUGUAGUCCCAUG